rnacentral:rRNA from 1 species
CGGUGGCUAAUACCGGAUGAGCCGAAAGGUAAAAGAUUAAUUGCCUAGAGAUGAGCUCGCGUCUGAUUAGCUAGUUGGUGUGGUAAGAGCGCACCAAGGCGACGAUCAGUAGCUGGUCUGAGAGGAUGAUCAGCCACACUGGGACUGAGACACGGCCCAGACUCCUACGGGAGGCAGCAGUGGGGAAUUUUCCGCAAUGGGCGAAAGCCUGACGGAGCAAUACCGCGUGAGGGAGGAAGGCUCUUGGGUUGUAAACCUCUUUUCUCAAGGAAUAAGAAAGUGAAGGUACUUGAGGAAUAAGCAUCGGCUAACUCCGUGCCAGCAGCCGCGGUAAUACGGAGGAUGCAAGCGUUAUCCGGAAUGAUUGGGCGUAAAGGGUCCGCAGGUGGCCCUGUAAGUCUGCUGUUAAAGAGUGAGGCUCAACCUCAUAAAAGCAGUGGAAACUACAGAGCUAGAGUGCGUUCGGGGUAGCAGGAAUUCCUGGUGUAGCGGUGAAAUGCGUAGAGAUCAGGAAGAACACCGGUGGCGAAAGCGUGCUACUAGGCCGUAACUGACACUGAGGGACGAAAGCUAGGGGAGCGAAUGGGAUUAGAUACCCCAGUAGUCCUAGCCGUAAACGAUGGAUACUAGGCGUGGCUUGUAUCGACCCGAGCCGUGCCGGAGCUAAUGCGUUAAUUAUCCCGCCUGGGGAGUACGCACGCAAGUGUGAAACUCAAAGGAAUUGACGGGGGCCCGCACAAGCGGUGGAGUAUGUGGUUUAAUUCGAUGCAACGCGAAGAACCUUACCAAGACUUGACAUGUCGCGAAUCCUUCUGAAAGGAAGGAGUGCCUUAGGGAGCGCGAACACAGGUGGUGCAUGGCCGUCGUCAGCUCGUGUCGUGAGAUGUUGGGUUAAGUCCCGCAACGAGCGCAACCCUCGUUUUUAGUUGCCAGCAUUAAGUUGGGCACUCUAGAGAGACUGCCGGUGACAAACCGGAGGAAGGUGGGGAUGACGUCAAGUCAGCAUGCCCCUUACGUCUUGGGCUACACACGUACUACAUGUUACGGACAAAGGGCAGCUACACAGCGAUGUGAUGCUAAUCUCAGAAAGCGUAGCUCAGUUCAGAUCGAAGGCUGCAACUCGCCUUCGUGAAGGAGGAAUCGCUAGUAAUUGCAGGUCAGCAUACUGCAGUGAAUUCGUUCCCGGGCCUUGUACACACCGCCCGUCACACCAUGGAAGCUGGUCACGCCCGAAGUCAUUACCUCAGCCUUCGAGGAGGGGG